GGAGAAGACCUGCCCAGUGUUCCACCAGUUUCCCGUGCAGGUCCACAUCUCUCAUAGGAAGCUGCCACUUCAUGGCAAGGAGCUGGUCUGAGCACUGUGUCCUCCACUGGCUGAACUAGGAAAAGGUUUGCAUCCACGGGCAGCAUGGUUUGGCAUGGAAAAGCACAGAUGGGCUCAGAAACUGUCUCCAAGCUGCUCUUGACAAGGUAGGAGGCAUUCCCUUUAAGUUAACCAGGAAUGGAGGCUCACACUGCCUCUCUGGAAAUCAAGGCUUGAGGCCAAAAGCAAUCUCUGAUAUCUCAACAGAUGAAAAUAGAGCUUAAAAAAAUAAGAACGUGUCAUGGAAUUAAAUGAGAACCACAGAUUUAGCAGGUCUGGUGACUUCCCAAGAGAAGCUGAGGAGAAACGUAGAGAAAAGGCUUGUUUUUGAGACACAGUGAAAUGAAUUACUAGUCCCUUCUGUAAAAUCUGUUAAAGUCUUGACUGCUGGACGUUUACUUUCAAUGAAGUCAGCUUCCACUGCAGUCUGCUGAAGAGCCCUAACUUGACUGUGCAGAUGCAAUUACUGAAAAUGAAUCUGUCAGAGACAUAUCACGUAAACAAGGAGUCCUGUUUUGGCUCUCCUCCUGAAGCCAUCUUUGCCUCAGGGAUAACCUCAGCCAAUGCUUCACAAACCCAGUGGGAACAAGCAGCGCAGGCACAAAGCAGACUGACUAAGAAGGUUAGUGAAAC
rnacentral:lncRNA from 1 species